UUUACCUUAUUUGCCCUUCGCUCGCCUCCAUCAAACGGAGCGUUAAUCGUCUGCUGACACAGGGUUUGAAAGGAUGAAUAUAUUUCUUUUAAAACAAAAAUUCUGGAAAAGGUACUGAUAAUUGGCAAAUAAAUGGUAACGGCAUCGCAAAUGGUAGAAGGAACCGUUUUGUCCCGAAUUUCUGCUUUAUUUUAGCUGUGUGCCUGCCCUUGUGCGCGCAUGCGAGAGGGAUAACGAUCGAGAGCAGGGAAGGACAAACCAUGGAAGAGGAGAAAAAAGAAGUGGAAGAAGGGCCACCGCCCGGAUGGCAGUCCAUCCCUCCUCCAGGAUCAUCGCAACCUCCGCCUGCGCCCCUACAGCAGCCUCCAUCUUCAGAAAUGGCUCAAAUGGUUUGUGGUUCUUGUCGAAGUCUGCUUUCAUAUCCAAGAGGAGCCAGAAAUGUUCAAUGUUCAUGUUGUCAGAUGGUUAACUUUGUGUUAGAAGCACAUGAGGUCGGGCAAGUUAAUUGUGGUAGAUGUGCAGUAUUGCUGAUGUACCCUUAUGGAGCUUCAUCAGUUCGAUGUUCCUCCUGCCAUUUCGUAACAGAAAUUGGAGUUCACAACAGGAGGCCGCCAUGGUCUGUAAUCCAAGGAUACCCUCCCCCGCCUCCAAACCCUGUUUGGUGAGUGGGCUUCACCGGGUUCUCAUCCUUGCCGCUGCAGAUGUGUUGCCCAUCACUGGACAGUAAUUAUUUCUGUAGGUGAUAGUGAUACAGUCCUCGGCCAGAAUAUGGCUUGUCUGAGAUGACUUAUUUGGUUGUGCAUGAACUAGUGGACUAGUGCGGAGAUACUACCGAAUUCUGAUAGCAAGGGUGAGCCAUUUUCGAAACUGAUUAAGUGAUUAGGAAUGGGGCUGUCAUCACACCAACUGUUUCUUAUCAAAUCCAUCUUUGUUAGAAAGGAAGCUAAGUAAUGCUCUGCUUUUGGUCAAUUUUGAGCAAUUGAGCAUAUUUAUGGCAUUUACAGAUUUACCAACAAAAGACCAAGAAUUCUUGCUUUGUCCAGCUACAGCAGCGAUCUUUCUUUCUUUCAUUUAGGAGUAAUGCAUAUUAUUAGCAAACUUGAAAGAAUUCAAAACUGCGUCCUUGUGUUCAAAGAUCAACGACCUCCAAACAGUGGAUAACUCGUGAUCUUUUUGGGUGUUGCAGUCCACCCAGAAUGUUAGGAACGAAUUGCACAAGAUUUGCAAGAAACAGAGAAUCUGAAUAUGGAAAAUUCACUUGGAUUGAUAGUGCAAUUUCGGUUCCAACCCCCCCUUCUGCAAUCACAUCGAUUCUCCCUAUUACAAUUCAUAAUUUACUAACAACAUAAAAGAAAAGAUACUAAUCCAGGAG
rnacentral:misc_RNA from 1 species